UUCUUGCAGUGCUAAAGUGUAAUUAAAUAGCAAUGGAUUAAAAAUAAAAUUUAUUCCUUGCCAAAAAUGAAAAGAUUACUGAAAUGUGCAGUUGUGCAGUCAAUUGUUAUGGCGUUGUCACUAAUUGUGCUGAAAAAGCCACAGUUUCCAUUGCGAGGAUGUUGCGAGAAAAUUGGUUAUAGUUUUGAGCAGUUAAAAUGGAUAUGAAGGGUCUUCUUGUAGGCUUAAUGCAUUUCCAGCAGUCAUUUUUCGAAAUCGAAAUGCUGAUGUGCCCGAAGAAACAGUUACUGCCGCCACUCGACAAACCACCAGACCGAGGUAUAUUUUGAAAAACGUUUAAACAGACUUUCACAAAUGCGUGAAAACAGCCGAACAUCAAUUUUUCAAAAAUUUCAAUCAAGUUGUCAAUUUGCUGCAGAGCCUCGGACAGUUAAUAAAUUUCACAGAAACUGAUACGAAGAUACAGAAAUUCUAGCACAUAAUGUUCUCAAGGUAGAAGUAUAUAGAUGAAUGCUGCUCAACACAAACGUCGUGUCAUUGAGGAUUGAAUUGAAAGUGUAGAAAGAGAUGCCCAGACCUAUACGAUAAUUUUGACCGACCAGAUUGGAAAAAAUAUGUUGGAAUAAUAUCAAAGAAAUCUAUCAGCUAGACAAUAUUUAGAUGAUCUUUGAAAAGCAUAUGCAAAGAUUAUUAGAUUAUUAGAAGAUUAAAAAAAGAAAACACACCAACACAAAACCCAGAAGAAACAGCUUAAAAAUGGAAAAGCCCUACAA